AACGUGAGCUCCCGGGACUUGGGGCCCGCCGGGCCGGGCCGGGCCGAGCCGCCGGGUGGAAGGCCCGUAACCGGACAGGGAGCGCCUCCCGGGAGGCGGGUGUACGCUACGAGCAGGGCUGCCCUGCGGGAGAGGACGAGGGCUCAGCAGCGCCUUAUCCAAUCGCUUUGCCACCGGCUUAGCGUUGCAGAUGAUGGCACCAGGCGUGUGGUCCCAAGGCAGAAGAAUGCAUAUGAACAAUAGAAGAAAAUUUGAUUUAUGAACAUUGAAUACUGAUUGCUCUCACAAGCCAAGGACACAAUUUCUGUACGAUGGAGAAAUGGCAACAGACACACUUUCCUGGGAUCACACUGUGGGAUGAAUGGUGCAGUCAGGAUUAGAGCUCAAGACUUCCAAAUCAUGCUGCCAUAUGGUCAGAGACCUGGAGAGGAGACAACUGAAAUUACGAGCUCUGAACAUUUGUACUUCCACUACAUCCUGAGCACAGAAAGACAGACGUUUAUGGGCCCCUACUGCCAGUUACAGCCCAUGGAUAGAAUAUAAUUUUCCAGAAUGUCUCACAUCUCAGCCCAGCUUUAACUUCUCCAGCACUACUGACAGUGCGUAGUCCCAGCUGGGCACCAAAGCAUUCACUGGGCCAUGCUGAUUGUUUCUGUGCCAGAACUGCUGUGUUCACUCCUGGCAGUGAAAGACAAGAGUAGCUCUGCCUGCUAGUGAAGAGCUCCUCGCCCACAGAGCAGGCUCCUGGCAUCACUCGCAUCUGGCAAGUCACUGCUGCUCAGUGAUGCAGCUAUGGCUGCACAGGCAGGGAUGAACUGCCACACAAGUAAAUCACCUCGCUUUCCACAGUCGAUUGAAGAAGGGCUAAGCAAUCAAAAUACUCCUAGCUGAGGGUCAUGAAUCUAAAAGCACCCUCAGGGACAAUGAGGGUAUACUGUACUGGAUAAGUUUUCUCUCCCCAAAUAAAAAGGUUUCAUUCAGCUUUUAGUACUUGAUUUAGACACAAUUUACAUGCAUCUUUAAAUCAGUGGACAUCCUAAUUUCUCGCCUUACUCCUUUGUAAAGCUCUCCCCUAAAAGUUUCACCAGAAAGAAAUGUAACUAGCAUUUACUAGUCUUUCUUCCAGAUGAUCCAUUCCUGUCAAUGUUUUAAGGAUUUUGAAAGGACCACAGUUAUGACAGUACAGAUAGUUAGCAAGACUGAAGUUUUAGAGCUUCACAUUUACCAUAAUGUUGUAUUUUCUAUUAAUUUCAGGUUCAAAGGGAUCUACACUAAAGUUCACUAUUUAGAAGUUCUACAACUCAUAAAAAAGGAUGAAAGGAAAUAAAUCUGCAUUAUUCUAUUUUUCUACUAAUAGCCUUCAGUCCCAACCUUUGAGAUCAAGCUUGGUCCCUACUUUUGGCUUGGAAAAUGAGACAGAAAUGAUGGUAACAUCCCAACUCAGUUUA